rnacentral:rRNA from 1 species
UCUUCAUUGAGCCGAACAAAGCCGAAAGGCGCUUUGAGAGGGGCCCGCGGCCCAUCAGGUAGUUGGUGAGGUAACGGCCCACCAAGCCGAUGACGGGUAGCUGUUCUGAGAGGAAGAUCAGCCACACUGGCACUGAGAUACGGGCCAGACUCCUACGGGAGGCAGCAGUGAGGAAUAUUGCGCAAUGGACGAAAGUCUGACGCAGCGACGCCGCGUGGGCGACGAAGGCCUUCGGGUCGUAAAGCCCUUUUAGCAGGGAAGAGUGAGGACGGUACCUGCUGAAUAAGUCUCGGCUAACUACGUGCCAGCAGCCGCGGUAAAACGUAGGAGGCGAGCGUUAUCCGGAUUCACUGGGCCGUAAAGCGCGCGUA